rnacentral:lncRNA from 1 species
AAAUAAUGUCAUUGGGUAAUUUAUGCAACAGAUGAUAGAAAGAUGCAAUCAUUUCAAAUGAAGACUUACCAUAACAAUCAUGAAUGCAACAAGAUUUUCAAAAACCCAAGGAUGAGUCAAGCUAUUUUUGAUUGAGUUGUACAUAAACAGAUUUAUGAAUGAUCUUUUUAUUAAUAAUGCAAAAGUGCAAGAGUUAGUUAGGAAAGCAUUUGAUACAUGGAUGAAUAUUAACAUGAUAAGAAAGACUAAAA